GUGCUCGUAGCUCAGCAGGAUAGAGCAACUGCCUCCUAAGCAGUAGGUCAUCGGUUCAAUUCCGAUCGAGCACA
rfam:Lactobacillus saerimneri 30a contig00014, whole genome shotgun sequence.